GUGGGGAAUUUUGGACAAUGGGCGCAAGCCUGAUCCAGCAAUGCCGCGUGCAGGAAGAAGGCCUUCGGGUUGUAAACUGCUUUUGUACGGAACGAAACGGUCCUGGUUAAUAUCCGGGGCUAAUGACGGUACCGUAAGAAUAAGCACCGGCUAACUACGUGCCAGCAGCCGCGGUAAUACGUAGGGUGCAAGCGUUAAUCGGAAUUACUGGGCGUAAAGCGUGCGCAGGCGGUGCUGUAAGACAGGCGUGAAAUCCCCGGGCUCAACCUGGGAAUUGCGCUUGUGACUGCAGUGCUGGAGUGCGGCAGAGGGGGAUGGAAUUCCGCGUGUAGCAGUGAAAUGCGUAGAUAUGCGGAGGAACACCGAUGGCGAAGGCAAUCCCCUGGGCCUGUACUGACGCUCAUGCACGAAAGCGUGGGGAGCAAACAGGAUUAGAUACCCUGGUAGUCC
rnacentral:rRNA from 1 species